AUUGAACGCUAGCGGGAUGCCUUACACAUGCAAGUCGAACGGAGUGGCGAACGGGCGAGUAAUGAAUAGGAACGUGCCCAGGAGCGGGGGAUAAAUACGCGAAAGCGUAGCUAUUCCCGCAUACUCUUGGAGCGGCCGAUACCGGUUUGGCUAGGUGGUGGGGUAACGGCUCACCAAGGCGACGAUCCGUAGCUGGUUUGAGAGGACGACCAGCCAGACGGGGACUGAGACACGGCCCAGACUCCUACGGGAGGCAGCAGUGGGGAAUCUUGGACAAUGGGGGAAACCCUGAUCCAGCCAUCCCGCGUGUGCGAUGAAGGUCUUCGGGUUGUAAAGCACUUUUGGCAGGAAAGCGGUACCUAAAGAAUAAGCACCGGCUAACUACGUGCCAGCAGCCGCGGUAAUUC
rnacentral:rRNA from 1 species